rnacentral:lncRNA from 1 species
CAUCCCCUCUUCUGCUCCAUCUUGGUCAGUCAGUGCCUGAUUCUUGUCAUUUCCCCUGACUGGGUGAAUUCCUUCUGCCUGUGCAUUUACUUCCUAACCUUACUCUCUCCCUGACACCCCAGCCCUUGAAAUGUCCAAAGCAGUUGAAGUGUGUACUACAUAGGGCUUAUCUUGAAUUCUCAUGAAGAUGGAAAGUCUGCAAGGACCCUUGCCUCAAUUAUUUUGGCAUCUGUAGUAAAAACAACAGCUAUUGAGCACAUGUCAGAUACUUUGCUAGGUGCUUUGCAGUAUAUUUGACCCUUACAACAUAUCUGUGAAAAAGAAACUGUUACCCCCACUUUACAAGGAGAGGUAUGUCAGGUUCCAAAC